UUCGAAGGCAAAAGGCAUAUUCACUCAG
rnacentral:sRNA from 1 species